UUUUUCUUUAUAUAGGGAGACAAAAAAUCCAAUUAGGUUAAAUAUUUUUGACUCAGACGACUUCCUGGAUGACUUACAUUUCAGUCGUCUGGUGAAGAAAUUAAAACAGACGACUUACAUGUAAGUCGUCUAGAAGAGUAAUAUUUUUAGCGGGAAAUUAAAUAUUUUUAGAGGGAAACUAAAAUAGAAGACUUUCCUGACGACUUGACGACUUACAAGUA
rnacentral:lncRNA from 1 species